UACGUAAUUGAUAAGUUUUAUAUUUCCUUU
rnacentral:piRNA from 1 species